rfam:Micromonospora carbonacea strain JXNT-1 contig1, whole genome shotgun sequence.
CUUGACCGACCCCAGCAGCAGCGGCGUGUCCCGCCCCUGCCCGUACGUGGCGAGCAGCGCCUGCGCCUC